GGGGGUUUAGCUCAGUGGUAGAGCGCUUGCCUAGCAAGCGCAAGGCCCUGGGUUCGGUCCCCAGCUCCA
rfam:Rattus norvegicus chromosome 2, whole genome shotgun sequence.